AAUUAAGACAGACAUAAUUGACGGAUGGUCGUAUCCAAUGGUUCGGGUCAGUUCGAUCUAAUCAUCCAACUACAAUUGAUAAGAUUAGACUAGGAUAUAGAUCGUUCAAAAUAGAUUAAGGGUAAUCAAAUCAGUAGUAUCUAACAAGAGUUAAGGUGGAGGUCGGUAUGUUGUCUGAUAAUCAGAGGUCAGUUCGAUCAAAUAACUUUAUUUAAUCAAGAUCACUUAAGAACUUAAGAUUCAUGGAUUCGAUAAAGACCAAUAAAAAUUAGAUUUGAUAGUGCUUGACAAAAGGCUUAGUGUCAAACUGUCUGACUAAUAAGGUGAUUCGAAAUCUCUCUAUCAGAUCCACUCGGAUUCAAAGGAAUAAGGCUCGAACCCUUCACUAGAUUCAUAAAUCAAGUAGAGAG
rnacentral:lncRNA from 1 species